ACAGAACUUGUCACGAUCGCUGGAAGUGCUGCUGCUGACUUCAGUAGAAUUUGGUUCCUGCAGCAUGAGACCUUAGCCAGGAGGACCUUGACAGCUGCAGCACAAAUAUGAGAGAAAGGAAAAUAGGAAUGACUGGGUAGUAACAAGGAGCAUCUUCCUCGUUCAGGAGCUGAUACAGAGACUUUGUAGGUAGAAAAAUGACCAGAAGAUCAAUAAUUGUUAUGUGGGCUGGACUCAGCUGAAGUCCAAGAAAAGACAGAGGAGGGAAAAUAACACACCGAGUGCAGACAGUUUAAACCCCGGAGAGAUGUUGAGCCAAGCGGGUUUUUGGAGACUGUGUGACCUGAUGUGUGUUCAGACCCAGCGAAGGCUUCUUGUUAGAGGCUGGUGUCUUCCUCAGAAAGCAAAGGCCUGAAAGAGGAUGAAGCUAAAGAGGAUGCAGAAGCAAAUGACUUCCCAUUCA